rnacentral:rRNA from 1 species
GACGGACGCUGGCGGCGUGCCUAAUACAUGCAAGUGGGACGCAAGGAAACACACUGUGCUUGUACACCGUGUUUUCUUGAGUCGCGAACGGGUGAGUAACGCGUAGGUAACCUGCCUAUUAGCGGGGGAUAACUAUUGGAAACGAUAGCUAAUACCGCAUAAUAUUAAUUAUUGCAUGAUAAUUGAUUGAAAGAUGCAAGCGCAUCACUAGUAGAUGGACCUGCGUUGUAUUAGCUAGUUGGUAAGGUAAGAGCUUACCAAGGCGACGAUACAUAGCCGACCUGAGAGGGUGAUCGGCCACACUGGGACUGAGACACGGCCCAGACUCCUACGGGAGGCAGCAGUAGGGAAUCUUCGGCAAUGGACGAAAGUCUGACCGAGCAACGCCGCGUGAGUGAAGAAGGUUUUCGGAUCGUAAAGCUCUGUUGUAAGUCAAGAACGUGUGUGAGAGUGGAAAGUUCACACAGUGACGGUAGCUUACCAGAAAGGGACGGCUAACUACGUG